AUUAGAGUUUUAAAUCCAGAUUAGUAAUAGUUAGGUUCUUGAAAAUUAAAAAAGUUGGCGGUAUUUUAGUCCAUUCAGAGGAACCUGUCCUGUAAUUGAUAUUCCACGAUUUUAAGUAUCUUUAUUUUUAGUUUGUAUAUCGCCGUAGAUUGAAUAUUUUUAUCGAGUUUUAAUAUUCAUAAUAUUUAAGGAUAGGAAUUCAGGUCAAGAUGUAGCUUAUGUAAGGAAAGAGAUGGGUUACAGAAAUAGAAUUUUUGAAUAUAUCUUUGUUAAAGGGUUGGAAAGAGGAUUUGAGAGUAAUUUUAAAGUAAGAUUUUUACAAUGAUUUUGGCUCUAGAAU
rnacentral:rRNA from 1 species